rnacentral:tRNA from 1 species
UCCCUGGUGGCUCAGCUGGUAAAGAACCUGCCUGCAAGGCGGGAGACCUGGGUUCGAUCCCUAGGUUGGGAA